GAUGAACGCUGGCGGCGUGCCUAAUACAUGCAAGUCGAGCGAACAGACGAGGAGCUUGCUCCUCUGACGUUAGCGGCGGACGGGUGAGUAACACGUGGAUAACCUACCUAUAAGACUGGGAUAACUUCGGGAAACCGGAGCUAAUACCGGAUAAUAUAUUGAACCGCAUGGUUCAAUAGUGAAAGACGGUUUUGCUGUCACUUAUAGCUGGAUCCGCGCCUCAUUAGCUAGUUGGUAAGGUAACGGCUUACCAAGGCGACGAUGCGUAGCCGACCUGAGAGGGUGAUCGGCCACACAGGAACUGAGACACGGUCCAGACGCCUACGGGAGGCAGCAGUAGGGAAUCUUCCGCAAUGGGCGAAAGCCUGACGGAGCAACGCCGCGUGAGUGAGGAAGGUCUUCGGAUAGUAAAACUCUGUUAUUAGGGAAGAGCAAAUGUGGAAGUAACUAUGCACGUCUUGACGGUACCUAAUCAGAAAGACACGGCUAACUACGUG
rnacentral:rRNA from 1 species